rnacentral:siRNA from 1 species
UCCAUAAGUUGUUUCGGACUGC